rnacentral:rRNA from 1 species
AUCAGCCUUUUGGGUGUGAUUUUGUGGACGUGAGGAGUUAAACGCCUUCAUGCCUGCAUAUUCGUGCACUUUGGGUGUACUUGCCCGUGUGGUUGGUUAACAUCAAUUUUGGUUAUCAUAAAAUGACUGGAGGAAUGUAGCUUCGAUCUCGUAUUGAAGUGUUAUAGCCUUCGGUAGAUGUGAUGAUCGAGAUUGAGGAUUGCAACGGAUACCCUUCGGGGCUACCUGUCUGGUCUCUGAUUGUUGCUCUGGUGCCGAAAGCUUGCUUACGGUUAUCAAAGUCGAUGGUCAAUAGGUUAGAACGGGUUAAAUUCGUUAAGGAUGUUGACGUAAUGGCUUU